GACGAACGCUGGCGGCGUGCUUAACACAUGCAAGUCGAACGGAAAGGCCCUGCUUUUGUGGGGUGCUCGAGUGGCGAACGGGUGAGUAACACGUGAGUAACCUGCCCUUGACUUUGGGAUAACUUCAGGAAACUGGGGCUAAUACCGGAUAGGAGCUCCUGCUGCAUGGUGGGGGUUGGAAAGUUUCGGCGGUUGGGGAUGGACUCGCGGCUUAUCAGCUUGUUGGUGGGGUAGUGGCUUACCAAGGCUUUGACGGGUAGCCGGCCUGAGAGGGUGACCGGCCACAUUGGGACUGAGAUACGGCCCAGACUCCUACGGGAGGCAGCAGUGGGGAAUAUUGCACAAUGGGCGGAAGCCUGAUGCAGCAACGCCGCGUGCGGGAUGACGGCCUUCGGGUUGUAAACCGCUUUCGCCUGUGACGAAGCGUGAGUGACGGUAAUGGGUAAAGAAGCACCGGCUAACUACGUGCCAGCAGCCGCGGUGAUACGUAGGGUGCGAGCGUUGUCCGGAUUUAUUGGGCGUAAAGGGCUCGUAGGUGGUUGAUCGCGUCGGAAGUGUAAUCUUGGGGCUUAACCCUGAGCGUGCUUUCGAUACGGGUUGACUUGAGGAAGGUAGGGGAGAAUGGAAUUCCUGGUGGAGCGGUGGAAUGCGCAGAUAUCAGGAGGAACACCAGUGGCGAAGGCGGUUCUCUGGGCCUUUCCUGACGCUGAGGAGCGAAAGCGUGGGGAGCGAACAGGCUUAGAUACCCUGGUAGUCCACGCUGUAAACGGUGGGUACUAGGUGUGGGGUCCAUUCCACGGGUUCCGUGCCGUAGCUAACGCUUUAAGUACCCCGCCUGGGGAGUACGGCCGCAAGGCUAAAACUCAAAGGAAUUGACGGGGCCCCGCACAAGCGGCGGAGCAUGCGGAUUAAUUCGAUGCAACGCGUAGAACCUUACCUGGGUUUGACAUGGAUCGGGAGUGCUCAGAGAUGGGUGUGCCUCUUUUGGGGUCGGUUCACAGGUGGUGCAUGGCUGUCGUCAGCUCGUGUCGUGAGAUGUUGGGUUAAGUCCCGCAACGAGCGCAACCCUUGUUCACUGUUGCCAGCACGUUAUGGUGGGGACUCAGUGGAGACCGCCGGGGUCAACUCGGAGGAAGGUGGGGAUGACGUCAAGUCAUCAUGCCCCUUAUGUCCAGGGCUUCACGCAUGCUACAAUGGCUGGUACAGAGAGUGGCGAGCCUGUGAGGAUGAGCGAAUCUCGGAAAGCCGGUCUCAGUUCGGAUUGGGGUCUGCAACUCGACCUCAUGAAGUCGGAGUCGCUAGUAAUCGCAGAUCAGCAACGCUGCGGUGAAAACGUUCCCGGGGCU
rnacentral:rRNA from 1 species